GGGGAAUAUUGCACAAUGGGGGAAACCCUGAUGCAGCGACGCCGCGUGGAGGAAGAAGGUCUUCGGAUUGUAAACUCCUGUUGUUGGGGAAGAUAAUGACGGUACCCAACAAGGAAGUGACGGCUAACUACGUGCCAGCAGCCGCGGUAAAACGUAGGUCACAAGCGUUGUCCGGAAUUACUGGGUGUAAAGGGAGCGCAGGCGGGAAGACAAGUUGGAAGUGAAAUCUAUGGGCUCAACCCAUAAACUGCUUUCAAAACUGUUUUUCUUGAGUAGUGCAGAGGUAGGCGGAAUUCCCGGUGUAGCGGUGGAAUGCGUAGAUAUCGGGAGGAACACCAGUGGCGAAGGCGGCCUACUGGGCACCAACUGACGCUGAGGCUCGAAAGUGUGGGUAGCAAACAGGAUUAGAUACCCUGGUAGUCCACACCGUAAACGAUGAUUACUAGGUGUUGGAGGAUUGACCCCUUCAGUGCCGCAGUUAACACAAUAAGUAAUCCACCUGGGGAGUACGACCGCAAGGUUGAAACUCAAAGGAAUUGACGGGGGCCCGCACAAGCAGUGGAGUAUGUGGUUUAAUUCGACGCAACGCGAAGAACCUUACCAAGUCUUGACAUCCCUUGACAGACAUAGAAAUAUGUAAUCUCUUCGGAGCAAGGAGACAGGUGGUGCAUGGUUGUCGUCAGCUCGUGUCGUGAGAUGUUGGGUUAAGUCCCGCAACGAGCGCAACCCUUAUGGUCAGUUACUACGCAAGAGGACUCUGGCCAGACUGCCGUUGACAAAACGGAGGAAGGUGGGG
rnacentral:rRNA from 1 species